UCCCUCUUAGCUCAGUUGGUAAAGCGCGUCACUAGUAAUGACGAGGUCAGUCGUUCAAGUCGGCUAGAGGGAA
rnacentral:tRNA from 1 species